UAGAAACUAGAGGCUCUAAAGAGCCUGUGUCGCUCACCUUGGUCUAUGUGAAUAUUAAAGGAAGCAGAUGGAUUCAUGACAAAAUUGUGAUGGUGAUGUGUUUGUACAUCUUACUUUACUGAACAUUCUUGCUGCUUAAAAUUAUCUCUAUCUAUAAUGAACUUGGCCCAUUAGUUUCAGUGGAAAAUGUUAGUAAAAAUUUACAAAUUUUAUGAAAAUUGUUAAAAAUUGACUAUAAAGAACAAUAACUCCUAAGGGGGUCAAUUGACCAUUUCGGCCAUGUUGACUUAUUUGUA
rnacentral:lncRNA from 1 species